rnacentral:rRNA from 1 species
ACUCCUACGGGAGGCAGCAGUGGGGAAUAUUGCACAAUGGGCGCAAGCCUGAUGCAGCAACGCCGCGUGAGCGAUGAAGGCCUUCGGGUCGUAAAGCUCUGUCCUCAAGGAAGAAUAAAUGACGGUACUUGAGGAGGAAGCCCCGGCUAACUACGUGCCAGCAGCCGCGGUAAUACGUAGGGGGCAAGCGUUAUCCGGAAUCACUGGGGCGUAAAGGGGUGCGUAGGCGGUUUUUCAAGUCAGAAGUGAAAGGCUAUGGCUCAACCAUAGUAAGCUUUUGAAACUGUUAAAACUUGAGUGCAGGAGAGGAAAGUGGAAUUCCUAGUGUAGAGGUGAAAUUCGUAGAUAUUAGGAGGAACACCAGUGGCGAAGGCGAC